rnacentral:rRNA from 1 species
UCUAAGUAUAAGCGAUCUUAUACAGCGAAACUGCGAAUGGCUCAUUAAAUCAGUUAUAGUUUAUUUGAUGGUCUCUUACCACUUUGGAUAACCGUGGUAAUUCUAGAGCUAAUACAUGCGUUGAUGCCCGACUUUUGCGGAAGGGUUGUAUUUAUUAGAUUCAAAACCAAUCGGGACUCGUGAGGGCUUCCGUUUCGGACGAUUCAUAGUAACUGUUUGGAGCGCAUCGGCCUCGUGCCGGCGCCGGAUCAUUCAAGUUUCUGCCCUAUCAACUUUCGAUGGUAGGGUAUUGGCCUACCAUGGUUGCAACGGGUGACGGAGAAUUAGGGUUCGAUUCCGGAGAGGGAGCCUGAGAAACGGCUACCACAUCUAAGGAAGGCAGCAGGCGCGCAAAUUACCCAAUCCCGACACGGGGAGGUAGUGACAAUAAAUAACAAUACAGGGCUUUUUCAAGUCUUGUAAUUGGAAUGAGUCCAAUUUAAAUCCCUUAACGAGGAACAAUUGGAGGGCAAGUCUGGUGCCAGCAGCCGCGGUAAUUCCAGCUCCAAUAGCGUAUAUUAAAGUUGUUGCAGUUAAAAAGCUCGUAGUUGGAUUUCAGGCGGGUUCGCUCGGUCCGCUUAACGGCGUGUCACUGAGCGAGCCGGUCUUCUUCCCGAGGAGCCGACGUGCUCUUAACUGAGUGUGCCGGCGACUGGGGACCUUUACUUUGAGUAAAUUAGAGUGUUCAAAGCAGGCGGUCAGCUUGAAUAGAUUAGCAUGGAAUAACGGAAUAGGACCUUUCGGUUCUGUUUUGUUGGUUUUGGGAACCGAGGUAAUGAUUAAUAGGGACAGUUGGGGGCAUUCGUAUUGAAUUGUCAGAGGUGAAAUUCUUGGAUUUAUGAAAGACGAACGUGUGCGAAAGCAUUUGCCAAGGAUGUUUUCAUUAAUCAAGAACGAAAGUUGGAGGCUCGAAGACGAUUAGAUACCGUCGUAGUUCCAACCAUAAACGAUGCCGCCUAGGGAUCGGAGGACGUUAUCGUACGACUCCUUCGGCACCUUGUGAGAAAUCAAAGGUUUUGGGUUCCGGGGGAGUAUGGUCGCAAGACUGAAACUUAAAGGAAUCGACGGAAGGGCACCACCAGGAGUGGAGCUGCGGCUUAAUUUGACUCAACACGAGGAAACUCACCAGGUCCAGACAUAGUAAGGAUUGACAGAUCGAGAGCUCUUUCUUGAUUCUAUGGGUGGUGGUGCAUGGCCGUUCUUAGUUGGUGGAGUGAUUUGUCUGCCUAAUCGCGAUAACGAACGAGGCCUUAACCUGCUAACUAGCUACUUCGUUCCCAUCCGGGCACGACGGCCGACUUCUUAGAGGGACUAUCGGCAUCUAGUCGAUGGAAGUUUGAGGCAAUAACAGGUCUGUGAUGCCUUAGAUGUCCUGGGCCGCACGCGCGCUACACUGACAAAGUCAAUCAGUUUUUCCUGCUCCGAAAGGCGUGGGAAAUCUCGGAAACUUUGUCGUGCUGGGGAUACACCCUUGUAAUUCUUGGUCUCGAACGAGGAAUUCCUAGUAAGCGCGAGUCAUCAGCUCGCGUUGAUUACGUCCCUGCCCUUUGUACACACCGCCCGUCGCUACUACCGAUUGGCUGGUCGGAUGAGAACAUUGGAAUGAGGCCGGCGAGGAGUCAUCCGAGUCGGCAACGCAAAGUUGUUCUAGUCUGUUUAGCUAGAGGAAGUAAAAGUCGUAACAA